rnacentral:sRNA from 1 species
UCCUCGUGUAUCCAUAGUCAUCAAACAGC